UACGAAGGGUGCAAGCGUUGUUCGGAAUCAUUGGGCGUAAAGCGCGCGCAGGCGGAUUGAUAAGUCAGGUGUGAAAUCUCGAGGCUCAACCUCGAAACUGCGCCUGAAACUAUUAGUCUAGAGUGUCGGAGGGGGCAGGGGAAUUUCACGUGUAGGGGUAAAAUCCGUAGAGAUGUGAAGGAACACCGGAGGCGAAGGCGCCUGCCUGGACGACUACUGACGCUGAGGCGCGAAAGCCAGGGGAGCAAACGGG
rnacentral:rRNA from 1 species